rnacentral:tRNA from 1 species
AUGAAUUAGGAUAAUAAGUUUAUUUAUUCCAUUACAGGGAAUUGAAAGUUUUGUACAAUUCAAAAUUCAUUAA